rnacentral:rRNA from 1 species
UCCCUACGGGGGGCUGCAGUGGGGAAUAUUGCACAAUGGGCGAAAGCCUGAUGCAGCAACGCCGCGUGAGCGAUGAAGGCCUUUGGGUCGUAAAGCUCUGUCCUUGGGGAAGAAACAAAUGACGGUACCCUUGGAGGAAGCCCCGGCUAACUACGUGCCAGCAGCCGCGGUAAUACGUAGGGGGCGAGCGUUAUCCGGAAUUAUUGGGCGUAAAGAGUGCGUAGGUGGCCAUAUAAGCGCGGGGUGAAAGGCAAUAGCUUAACUAUUGUAAGCCUUGCGAACUGUGUGGCUUGAGUGCAGGAGAGGAAAGUGGAAUUCCUAGUGUAGCGGUGAAAUGCGUAGAUAUUAGGAGGAACACCAGUGGCGAAGGCGACUUUCUGGACUGUAACUGACACUGAGGCACGAAAGCGUGGGGAGCAAACAGGAUUAGAUACCCGUGUAGUCA